GUCGAACGCUGGCGGCGUGCUUAACACAUGCAAGUCGAACGAUGAACCCGGAGCUUGCUCUGGGGGAUUAGUGGCGAACGGGUGAGUAACACGUGAGUAACCUGCCCUGGACUCUGGGAUAAGCGUUGGAAACGACGUCUAAUACCGGAUAGGACCUUGGAUCGCAUGAUCUGGGGUGGAAAGUUUUUUCGGUCUGGGAUGGACUCGCGGCCUAUCAGCUUGUUGGUGAGGUAAUGGCUCACCAAGGCGUCGACGGGUAGCCGGCCUGAGAGGGUGACCGGCCACACUGGGACUGAGACACGGCCCAGACUCCUACGGGAGGCAGCAGUGGGGAAUAUUGCACAAUGGGCGAAAGCCUGAUGCAGCAACGCCGCGUGCGGGAUGACGGCCUUCGGGUUGUAAACCGCUUUUAGUAGGGAAGAAGGGCUUCGGCUUGACGGUACCUGCAGAAAAAGGACCGGCUAACUACGUG
rnacentral:rRNA from 1 species